UCCCUGGUGUCUCAGACGGUAAAGCGUCUGCCUGCAAUGCAGGAGACCUGGGUGUUCAAUUCCUGGCUUGGGAA
rnacentral:tRNA from 1 species